rnacentral:rRNA from 1 species
UACGGAGGGUGCAAGCGUUAAUCGGAAUUACUGGGCGUAAAGCGUGCGCAGGCGGUUUUGUAAGUCUGUCGUGAAAUCCCCGGGCUUAACCUGGGAAUGGCGAUGGAGACUGCAAGGCUAGAGUUUGGCAGAGGGGGGUAGAAUUCCACGUGUAGCAGUGGAAAUGCGUAGAGAUGUGGAGGAACACCGAUGGCGAAGGCAGCCCCCUGGGUCAAAACUGACGCUCAUGCACGAAAGCGUGGGGAGCAAACAGG